rnacentral:rRNA from 1 species
UGAAUACGAGAUGCUACGGCGUCGAAGCAGUCUAUGUCAUACUUCCAAGAAAAGCUUGCACUGUCAUAAACAAAUAAUGCCUGUACCAUAACCGACACAGGUGGGUAGGUAGAGUAUACUAAGGGGCGCGAGAUAACUCUCUCUAAGGAACUCGGCAAAAUGACUCCGUAACUUCGGGAGAAGGAGUGCCUUAUUUAUAAGGUUGCAAUAACAAGAUCCAAGCAACUGUUUACCAAAAACACAGGUCUCCGCUAAGUCGUAAGACGAUGUAUGGGGGCUGACGCCUGCCCAGUGCCAGAAGGUUAAAGAAGUUGGUUAGCAUCCGCGAAGCUGAUAACUGAAGCCCUGGUGAACGGCGGCCGUAACAAUAACGGUCCUAAGGUAGCGAAAUUCCUUGUCGGGUAAGUUCCGACCCGCACGAAAGGCGUAAUGAUUUGGAUACUGUCUCGGAGAGGGGCUCGGUGAAAUAGACUUGUCUGUGAAGAUGCGGACUACCUGCACCAGGACAGAAAGACCCUAUGAAGCUUUACUGUAACCUGAAAUUGAAAUUGGACUUUACUUGCGCAGUAUAGGUGGGAGGCGUUGAGAAUAUUCUUGCGGGAUUAUUGGAGCCAUCAGUGAGAUACCACUCUUGUAAUGUUAGAUUUCUAACUUUGUAUCAUCAUCUGGUCAAAGAACAGUUUCAGGCGGGCAGUUUGACUGGGGCGGUCGCCUCCUAAACGGUAACGGAGGCGCACAAAGGUUUCCUCUGAACGGGUAGAAAUCGUAUCUAGAGUGUAAAGGCAUAAGGAAGCUUGACUGUGAGACCUACAAGUCGAGCAGGGACGAAAGUCGGUCUUAGUGAUCUGACGGUGCUGAGUGGAAAGGCCGUCACUCAACGGAAAAAAGUUACUCUAGGAUAACAGGCUGAUCUCCCCCAAGAGUUCACAUCGACGGGGAGGUUUGGCACCUCGAUGUCGGCUCAUCGCAUCCUGGGGCGGUAGUACGUCCCAAGGGUUGGGCUGUUCGCCCAUGAAAGCGGUACGCGAGCUGGGUUCAGAACGUCGUGAGACAGUUCGGUCCAUAUCCGGUGUAGGCGUUAGAAUAUUGAGAGGAGCCUUCUUUAGUACGAGAGGACCGAGAAGGACAUACCUCUGGUGUACCAGUUAUCGUGCCAACGGUAAACGCUGGGUAGCUAUGUGUGGAGUGGAUAACCGCUGAAAGCAUCUAAGUGGGAAGCCCACCUCAAGAUAAGUAUUCUCA